CUCGCUUCUUUUCCUCGUUUCCUCUACCGCCACGGCACGCAACCUCUCCUCGUCUUCCUCGCUCACGCGGACAUCCACUCCUCGCUCUCGUCGCGCCGCCCCACCCAUCCUCCGGUGCGGAGGAAGAUAGCCAUAGAUUCGUGAGUAGAAUGAGGAGGGGAACCAUAUUGGACCAGCAACGGCCGGAUCCCCAAGGAGAAUAUGGCAGUGGGAUGCAAGACGAAGCUAAUCGGCGGCCGUGGCCGGUGGAUGAGGCGGAGGGAGGCGACGGCGACGAGAAAAAUCGGUCAAUGAUAGAUAAAGGCUUCAUUCAGACGAUGGAUUGUCUUGCUCUACUUCCAAACAGGUAAGUCGUGUCCUUUUUGGGUUUUAACCAACUGAAAUGAAACCAAGAUACAGUUGCUGCUGCACUUAUGAGGAAAUUGUACAGGGGAGAGACAGGCGGCUGUUGCAGAACAAGGGAAGGAGUAGCAGCAAUCUGCUGUUUCAGUUGUAUAUGUCCGUUGAAGAUAGUUCAUACCCGUAUCCUGAAGAAAGAAGGCAAAAUAAUCCAUAACUAUUUCUUGAUAAUAAAGUACAUAGACAUAGAUAUAUAGCUCAUUGGCUCCAUGACGUUAGUUUGCAAAAUAAUCCAUAAUCAUAUAUUGUUGUGGAUAAUUUUGCUAUUAACAGUUAUAUGGAUUCUUGCUGACUCAAGAUAGAUUCCAGAUAUACCUGGAAUAUGUUCAUCCGGGUUCAGUUAAUAAGUGCAUUAGUCAACAUUGUGUGCAAUGAUAGAAUACGUUGUCCACAACUUCACCUCUCAUAUCCUUAAGGGUCUUGAUUUCCUUCAGAGCCAAAAAAAUUAUGCAUAGGUAAUGUUUCCUUUUUGUUGUUCAAUUUUUUAUCUGAUAAUGAUUUCUCGUUCGCUGUUUCCUUACUUUCUGAACCUAACCUUUUUGUUCUGUUGUUUACAUUACCUCUUUUUUUUUCUUGUACAAAUUGUCAGAUUGCUUUGUCCUAUUUUGCCCAUACAAAUGGACAAAUGGUUAAGAACUUAGCAAGUACUUCCCUUUUAUAUGAUGUAGAUGUUAAGAAUCCGCUCUUCAGUUUUGUAACAAAAAUAGUACCCAUAGUUUAUAGAUCUUUAUUUCUUCUUGUCGAUGACUGAUUUCUGCACAUAUAUUUACUGCCUAUCUGCAAAUGGAUUUAAAGGAAAGAUUUAGAAGGUGAAGGAACUGAUGCAGGGCAUUCUAUAUUCUCACUUUCCUAAUCAUUCUCCAUGUACAGUGCAAUACAUGUAUAGCUUUGGUGCUUUUUGUGCUGACAAGAAUUCUCUCGGUGCUUUCAUAGGCUUGCUGAACCAUAUUCUCUUUACUGAACUUGGCUUCAUUCGAGAGAUAAUAUGGAGUGAAUUAUUUGGACAAUAAAACCUUCAGAUUUCUGAAAAGUGAAGGUACUUUCCAACUACAAUUGUAGGCAAGCACGGCUCUUAUCAUGUUUAAGAAGGGAGAUCAAUUCGGUUUGGCGUAGAUGAUGGUUUUAGAGUUGUGCAGAUAUAUGUGAUGGAAUGUUGAUAUGUAGCAUGACUUAUGUCCAGGAAUGCACCAAGAAAAUAAUGCAGUACACCUUAACGUUUGAAGUUUAGCAACGUGGAUAUGAUGUUCAUGAUGAAACAUUUCACGUUUCAUGAGUGGGCAUCCGCACACACUACUCACGAGUGCUUUCAGCCACAUCGAUGUCCAGCACCUCUUCAACAAUAUGGUGGCCUCUACAUCAUCGGCUCAAGCUGCAGUGCAAGACGGUGUUGAUCAACAGUGGUGGCCAAGGUGGCGUGAGACGAUGAUGACGAAUGAUAUAGUGGUCAGUAGAUAAAACAUGCCGUUCAUCUUCAUUGCUCACCAGGGGCCUCUUCGGCGGCUGAUGUAGCAUUAGUCAGCAUAGGAGGAGAAAUGGCUCUCACUGAUUAGGAUGUUGCACAUCAGCUCUUUACAGUAGGCAGGUCGCCACACAUGACAUCUCGCCAAGUCGCCUGAUUAGAGGAGAGGAAGAAUUGGCAUGCUGUCUCGGAACUUGAGCCUAAAUUUGAACCUGAGCCUGAAGGAUAUAUCUGAGAGGUAUAUGUACAGGUCUACGAACUCAUCUCCAAGUUAUGUUUGAGGAGAGGUGUAUCAUUUUGUCCAGUCCAUCAUGCAAGCUUUUUCAGUUUGUUGAUUUUUUCUCUGAAUAGCGUUGAUUGGCUGAAAGCAUUGUUGUUCGGCACUCCUGCAGCUGUACAUUUGGUAUGGGUUUUCUCCUGCUGCAUGAUGUGCUGAUGAUGUUUUUAAGAUUAGACAAUAUUUGGGAGAAGAGGGGGUUUGCUUAAUUGGAACCGGAGUAAGAACGAGAAGGAGCUUAAGUAGGGCCAUGGCAGGGCGACCUGGAAGGGUGGAAUUUUACUUGUGAUAUGUGAUAGGAGAUGGUCACCGUAAAACAAGGCGCUAAAGACCUACCAAACUAAAACAAUUUCUAGAAAGGUUACUAUUCUUUUUUACUGUGUAGGUCUAAUUUAAUUUGUCUAUGUUGAGCGCAUGAACGAAGCAAUGAAUUUCUGAAUUACAAACAACGUACAGAUUUUCUGAAUCCAAACCAAAAUCAAGCAUAUACUGUAGGUUGUUGUAUUGUUGAUCCAGCAACAUGCUCUGUUUCUGCAUGCCAUGGAAGCUUUGCUGCAGUUAAUAUGUCAAGUUUAUUUGGAUUGCUCUUAGAUAAUUAGGUGCAUGAAUCAUAUAGCUUGUAUAUAUUGCUUUAAAAUACUGUCAUGGUGUUUGUCAUGGUCAUGUUUUACUGCAUCCACCCUACAAUAAAUCUAAAAACAUUCUAACCCAGCAUCUUGGUCUCCUGUGGACCAGUUUUGUAAGCCAGAUUGAUGUCAUGUGUAAACAAAGGCUUACAUUCAUUCUCCUUUUUUCAUACUUUACUAGAUUACUUCGUAUCUUUUGUAGAUUAGUGGUAAAGAGUUAGUUAAGCCAACAUUCCAAAUUACUUUACUAGAUUAGUCGUGUCUUUUGUAGAAGUUGAAUAUUUACUUUGUUUUUCAUAUGGCAUGUUUAAGAUUUCCAGUUCAAUCUGCUUCUGCUGGUACCUAAAAGUUUAUCCAACUAUUUUAUUUUCCUUGAUGCAACACAAUGACCAUCAUCGCAGAAGCAUAGGUGGUAGACGGUAAGCUUUUUGGAGGAAGCGGAGACGGAGAUUUCUAUUCACCAAAAGAUGGAUACGGAGAUUUCUAUUCACCAAAAAGAUGGAGCCGCCAUCUAGAAGCACUGACGAGCAGCUUAGUCUCAGCCGACGCAUCGACGGGCUGAGGCGGGCUUCCAAUAGAGGUCAAAAAUAGGGAAUGGCCUUUUGAGCUGAUGGAGGGAUCACUGGACGUGGUGUGAAUGUUUGUGUUGGCUUACAUGCAUAAAUAAGGAGUAUAGUAAGACUUUUCCAAUAGUUCUCUUGGAGGUCAUGUCUAUGCCAUUCAAGGAUUUUGAUAUCUGAAUGUUAUGACAAUAUAUAGAUAGGGAAGAUAGCCCUCCGCGUCCUGGUGGCCACUGUAUGCUGCAGCGAAGAGCACAUUUCAAUUAGUGAUCAGGCAGAUGCGGCGAUCCCAGAUGUGCUUUGACAUUGUGAUUUGUAGUUGUCAAGGACAUCAUUACCCAGUCCGUUCCUAUGCUUUGACACACAACCAAGGAAUGAAAAACCUGCUCCAAAGAUCUUCAAAAUAGUACAAUAUCAGAUACACAUGCCUUGGAUACACUCCGUUCUGAUGGUAAUACUUUCAGUCACUCACAAACAAUAAGCUUCAGCAUACAAGGCAGCGUUCAAUGCUAUUGGACUCAGGUGUUGGUAUACAAUUUCUUGUACAUUUUACUUCAGCUUACAAGGCAGAAUUCAAUGCUACUAAGUCUGUUCUUAGUGUAUUGACAAAGCCAAUUAUGGGGCCACUGUUAGAGGUUCUUGAAUGUACCAUGCUACUAUAGAACGUGUGUGCAGAAACAGUUGAAUAUCUCAGUUCAGCUGCAAUGGUAGCGAUGGAGACAUCAUGCAGUGUGGUUAUCAUUUGGCCAUUUUGGUUCAUCUUCAGUACGAUAUUUAAUAUUGCCAAUUCAGUCUUGUACCCUGUAAUUUGGUUCGUCGGAGAGAUACUAGCCGCACCUUUCCGACUUGUCACUGCACUAGCAAGUUUUGUAGCACACUUCUUUGAUGAUAUUGUUGAUGUUUUAGACAAACCUGGUCAGCAUUAAGUUUGUUAUAUCAUGUUGGUUCUGCAUCCAGUGCACCUGCACUUAUAUCUGAAACUACCAUUUGGGGAUUACACUGGAAAGAUCUUCUGUACCAUGUAACAUAAAUUUGUUUGCAUGCCUACUAUUUUUUUCAAUUAGUAUAUUAUGCAACUUACAUCGGCUCUUGUUUUAGAUUUUCCAUGCAGCCCGGAGAAUUUUCUACUGUUUUGUUGCCUUCUUUUCAAUGUGCAAUAGGCAUCAGCUAAGCAUUUACAAUCACAUAGAAGUUCUUCUCUGACGCCUAUCCUACCUUAAAUGGCACGCAACAUACUUCCUCUUGUGAAGGAGCUUGGAAGUACAGUAAUCAAGAUCAUCCUACAUGUGAAUACAUAUUCAUUCCAAAACAGCCCAUCUACCGUGGACUGGACACUGAGAGUGUAAAGAGUGAUGGUGAUGAUUCUGGAGAUUGUGUUAGGGUGUCGUCAAGUUUCACAAGCUCAUCAUACACCCCACCAGCCACCACCUUGCUCUGGACCUAACAAGAGAAGAAGGAUAACAAGAUCUGAUGCUGGAUGCCAGGAAGUGAUAUAUCUAAAGAACCAUACUCAGAAUUUGUGACCUCACCAAGAUAUUCAUCUUCAUCAUGUUGGUGGAGCCUAGCACAUACAAGGAUGUGUUGAUCUUGUUCUGAUUCAACGAUCAUGAUCUGCCGUUCAGACUAAAGGAAGUUAUACUGUCUGAUCGUUCUUGAUCCCUUCCUUCGCAUUCACGACCAUCGAGAUGACUCCAUUAACGAGACGUUCUCCGGCAUUGACCACCGCCCCUGCACGAUGUUUAGACUCUAGGCUGUAGUGUGUUAAGCGGACGAGAAAUCUGAGCAUCUCCACUUGUCCAGGUUUCUCCACUGCAUAUUCUGCAUGCCCCUGCACCUACUGCCUUCAAUAUCUAUGCUAACCUACACCCCCUUUGUCAGUGCUUUUGUUUAUAUAUUGUCCUUCUGUUCUUGAUGUGGAUGGGUGGAAGCAUGUAUUUCUGAUACAUGUAUACGUUUUAAGAAGGGAUGUUGAUAGAAGACUCCUAUUAUGCAUGUACCUAUUUUCUUAAAAGCAUCCAAUGUCUGUCAUGUCAAUUAUGUUGACUGACCAAGAUGAUUGUCUUUUAUAGCUUAUA